rnacentral:rRNA from 1 species
GGGGUCGGGGCGGGUGCUAUACAUGCAGUCGAGCGAACAGACGAGGAGCUUGCUCCUCUGACGUUAGCGGCGGACGGGUGAGUAACACGUGGAUAACCUACCUAUAAGACUGGGAUAACUUCGGGAAACCGGAGCUAAUACCGGAUAAUAUAUUGAACCGCAUGGUUCAAUAGUGAAAGACGGUUUUGCUGUCACUUAUAGAUGGAUCCGCGCCGCAUUAGCUAGUUGGUAAGGUAACGGCUUACCAAGGCAACGAUGCGUAGCCGACCUGAGAG